GGGGCAAAAUCGUGAGCCUAUUCCAUCUCAGCCCACAAAAUGGCACUUCGUCUCAUGCCUCCCUUUCCAUCUUUCACCGGUCGAAAUCUGGCCAUCGGAAAAUCGCAGCCGCUGGUUAAAUUAAAAAUCUCCUGCUCUUAUCAUUCCAACAAGGUCACUUCACUCGACACUCUUUAACUCCCACUUCUUCUUGGUUUCCGUUUACAAAUAAUGAAAAAAUUGGUGAUGGUAAAUGUGAUUGUGAGAAGUAUUGGGCUCUGAUUUUUCCGGGGUGGUGAUACAGUGCAAGAAGGAGUAGACGAGCGUGAUGAUAGUGCCGACAGGUGUAGGUACCACCAUCGGUGGAUUCGCCGGCGACGCUUAGCCAGUUGCUCGUGCACUCGCCUCCGUCGUUGAUUGCCUCAUUUCGCACCCUAACGUUUUGCUCUUGAUCGAUUUGCAGAAGGCUUAUGGGCAUUGCAGCCAGUUCACCAAAAUAGAGUGGGGUUGGUUCUUGAUGCUGCAAUAGAGGGGGAGCUUCGACUUCGCCAUUUGCAAGUGGCUGAUGCGACAAGCGCUUCCCUUGGAUUGCCUGUUUUGGAAUAUAUUGUCACUGACACUCCUUUACUGGUAUGCGUCCUUAUCAGCUAUCAGAUUAAAGACUAAUGGAGCCAAAUAUCAACAUACUGCUAAUUGCCCAUAUCUUAAGUGGAGCUAAAGUAAAAGAUGCAUGUUCCAGACAGAUUACAUAACAUGUUUCAUGUGCUGCAGACCUUUCCCUUUGCAAGACAUGUUUUAUGUGCUGCAGGCCUUUCUCUUUGAUGACUAACUGCACUUCUUGUGAGAUGCUUAUUGAUGACAUGGGCAUGAUGCAUUAGACCAAGGGUCAUACACUUGGUGAUUGAUGAGUCAACAUUAUUUGUAUUGUCUAAUUAUGAUCUCUCUUCAUGAGAACUGAUACUUUUACAAAGUUUGUAGCAAUGAAAACAUUGCCCCUGCAAUUCAAGUUCCACUACCAAGGUAAUCGUGAGCUGUUCAUAUCUAUAACGUGUUUUAUAGGUGGAGAAAUGGGUUGAUCCAAAGAGCGGGCAAUCAACAGGGAGAAUUAAGCAUCCUGAUUCACUACCGAGAGCUGUGCAGACUUUAGUUAACCGAACAAAGGUAAAUGCUGUUGCAGUGGUGGGAUGCUUUCUGAUGACGAUGUUGAAGACAUGGAUGAUUAUCGACAAGGGAUGGGUAUAGAUGAUUUGGCAGGAGUGGAGGCAGUUAUAAGCCAUCUGGUGGUGAAGGAAUUCCAGAUCCCUUGUGCACAUGCACCUGCAUUAUCUCCCUUUCCUUUGAGCCUAUCACUGUGUCCAAAAUCAGCUGCCGAGGAGGUGAGUAAUAUCUUUUGAGGGCACAAAGAACUUAUAGCUACAUGAGAAGUGGUUUUUGUGGUUAUAGAAAGGGACAGUAGGUAUCUUUGUGUGAGUUUGCAUGUGUGCACACCAGUGUUCAUUUGUAUAAACUGAUGGGUGGGUAGGUAGGUGCAUGUUUUCACCUAUAGGGUGGAUGUUGUUGUUUGUCUUUUCAUUAGGACUAAAUUCCAUUGAUUAUCAUUUGGACACUUCAGGCCAAUGGUGUCACUAUGGAAAGUUGAAUAUUAUAUUCCUUACUGGGAACCUGAUAGAAAGGUUUAAUACGGUGAUGGGGUUCCAUAAA